CAGAGCUCAGGUAGUCGAAGGAGGCUGCUGCAGCCCUGCUCCUGCUGAGGGCUAUGCGGGAAGGGAGGCUGAGGCUGAGGCUGGAGGGGUCCUGAGGCUGAGGGCAGGAGGCUGAGGGCUGGAGGCUGAGGCUGAAGGGGGCCUGAGGCUGUGGGCAGGCGGCUGAGGCUGAAGGCUGGAGGCUGAGGGCAAGAGGCUGAGGCUGAAGGAGUCCUGAGGCCGUGGGCAAUGGUCAAAGCCCCAGGAGGAGGCUGCCAGGUGGGCUGAGUGACAGCAGAGUGCAGGAGGUGGGCUCAGAACUAAGGGAAGGAGCUGGGAUGAUGCCAGGGCUCUGCUCUCUGAAGGUGCCAGAGGCUGACAUGUCAGGCUGUGCCUGGGCAGAAACCAUUGAAAUCCUCUCUCAGCAUCACAUCUCAUCUCCCCUGAACAUCUCCAGAAUGGUGGGUAAAAGCUGCAGCUGCAACUCUGCCUGGCCUGGUGGUCCAGGACGGUAUAUAAAACCAUCCAUGAUUCAGACACCUUCCAGCAGGUUCUCGUGACUUCUCCUCGGUGAACAGAGUCUACAGCACGGCUAAACGAUGUCUUGUGAGAAAACCCUGUGCACGGACCCAUGUGCUGCUGUAGGCAACGUGAAACGCCCCGAGCCCUGCGCUGCUGCCUGCAGUGAGCCCUCUGUCAUCGCCUGCCCUGACUCCCGUGUCAUCAUCUUCCCACCACCUGUGGUCGUCACCAUCCCAGGGCCCAUCCUCACCACCUACCCACAAGAGACCAUCGUGGGCUCCACGGAGUCAGCUGAGCUGGCCAGUGUUCUGGAGUCGGGUGUAGCCAUCGGCUCAGCACAGAAGGGGGCUGAAUGCGCACUGCCCUGUGCUGAGCCCUGUGCCACAAAGCUGGUCACAAAGUGCGAGGCCCCGUGUGUGGCACCAUGUCCACCCCCGUGUCCACCCCCGUGUCCAGCUCCGUGUCCAGCUCCGUGUCCAGCACCGUGUGUGCCCCAGUGUGUGCCCCAGUGUGUGCCCCAGUGUGAGCCCCAGUGCGUGCCUCAGUGUGUGCCGGAGCGCUCCUACACUUAUUCCACCCAAUGGAAGCACCCUUGCCAGAGAGGCUUCUGCAAGAAGCUCUAAUCAGCCUACAGCAGAGAAUAAUCACAGAAGAACAGCAAGCAAAGGAGUGAACGGAUAUGGAUCGUCAUUUACAGGCAUGGCUUUCAAGGUUCUUCCUACUGCAGAGGGAAGCACCCCAAAAUCAGGACCUUGCUUCUAAUUCCUGUAUAGUGCUUUAGCUUAGAUUAAUGCUUUCUUUAUUCUUGUGGCUUUGCAUCUUACAUCUGUGCUUUUAACUUCCUCUACACAGUUUGACUUUGUGAUUUAAACAAACAAAAAAGCAUACCUAGAGAUUUGAAUGUCACACUCAGCAAAAAUGAGGAAAAAGAAAAUCCUGAUGAAAUGCACCACACUGAAAUGGGUAACUGGUUCUAGCUUUCCUUGUUUCUAGAAAUAUACGCUUUUCUAGACUGCAUUAUUCUUUCUGCAAAUGUUUACUCCACUCUGCAUUCACAUUAAAAGGCUGCUGCAUCAAA